CUUUAAUGCAAUUUUAUUUUGUAACACUGUAACUAUAAUAAAGCCGUGUAUUCUCACCAAGUGAGGCAAUUCUCAAGGUGUGUAUUCAAAAGAAUAUUCAUUAAAAUACAAAGUCACAUGUCUACUACUGUGUUGGUUGCUGGUGCUAAUUUUUCUGACUUCCAUUGUUUAUAAGUAGGUGUUGCUAGAUGAAGGCAAAUAUCUUUAAGUAACUUAUCUCUUUUCAGAUGUUUUUGGAUUGGAACUCUAAGAAAUAUUUCAGGACCAUACUAAAAGGCUCUACCCAUGGACUGUGGUGGAUGUAUCAGAUUGAAACCCAAGGGCAUGGCCACAUCAUUAUGACAAUAGUUUAAGCUGUUAAGAAACUCAAGGACCAACAAGUGAGAAUGUAAUUCUCCAUCAAGAUUGCCAGCUGUUUUUAAGUGUUUGGAGACCAAGAUGAAGACCACAAGAAUCAGUGGCAGAUUGUCAAAGCGAUGAUGCAGAAGCCUACCAUUACCAUUACAAGCCACAAGAGGAGACAAUUUGGCUUUGACAUCUGACUUCCCAAGGGUGAUUCUGCUAAUCAAGCCAGUAGGGCUGGGGUCCCUUUCCUCACUUGAUGCUUCUGCAUGUGGCCUCUCUUCCGGCACACCGUGGAGGGCAGCUUUCUCAGAGAGAGGACAAAGAAGAGGACGUAAGAAGGCUGUGAUUCAUCACUGUAGGCUCCCUCAAAUCUCUCAUGUCUUCAAGUGUCAUGUCACUUGGUACAAGUUAGAUAAUCGCUAUUAUUGAUUACUUUGACAAUAAUAAGAGUAAUAUUAAUAAUUGCUGAAGAUAAGUUCUUAAUAUCAGGCAUUAAUUAUUUCUGUGUAAUGAUCUUCUUUAAUCCUCAUUCAGCCCAAAAAGUAGAUGGACUGUGAAGCUAAUGAGGUUUAGGACUAUUCACUUACAAGGGCUCCUUUCAAAGCCCUGUUUUUAAAUUCCUCAUUAAAAAAUGUGUAAUUCUCUUUCGCAUUCUAAGUAAGCAUUCUCUUUUAUACCUAAUUUUGUACUAAUAAUUUGUGUAUUUUUUUCUUAAAAAUGGCCCCUGAAAUUGUAUAAGUCUAGGUGCUACAGAACCUAGAUCUGCCUUGUCUAGCACUAUGAGGUAGAUACUGUAAAACAUCUCUGUAACACCAAAAGUGCACUCAAUAAUUUAACCACAGAAAAUACAGGGGUAUAUUACUGCAAAGUUAAUGCAAAAUGAUGUUUUUCUGUUGGUCUGUUUGGUCACAAAAAAAGCACAAAACUUGAGAUACUUAGGUGUAUACAGUGUAUAUUAUCUCUGUGUAUACAAGUGACAAUACACUUACCCAAGAGAAUCCCAAAUGACCACAAACAAUCACUUAUAAAAAUCCCAAUCCUAUGUGGCCCACCUUCAUUUGAGAAUGGGGACUUGGUAAAGAUUGACAGCCAGUCACCGGUAGUGUGAUCAAAUGUGAAUGUUCAUUUCAUCCGUGUUUUACUUAGUCUGAGUAUUUACUAAUAUAUGCCUUGGAGAAGGUCUUUUUGCAUUGAUGUAAUUAGGAGUUCAAUUAGCUUCAUUUACAUGUAAUUCCAUUUCCUUCCCCAGGUUUAGCAAGUUCUCAACUAUUAUUUCUUUGAACAUGAUUCUCCUCCUUUCUCCCUCCCUUCUCCCGCUGGAAUACCUAUAAUCCUUAUGUUGCAUUUCCUAAUUGAGUUGGAUAUUUCUCAGAGAAUUUCUUCACUUCUUGUUAGUCUUAAAAGGUCCUCCUCUACCUGAAACAUUUCU
rnacentral:lncRNA from 1 species